rnacentral:lncRNA from 10 species
UUCCUGGUGACUUUCAGGAGACCUGGAGCAGCUUAAAGUUGUGUGAAGACCUCAGUGGAACUGUUUUAAGGUUUUUGCCUUGCCUUUCCUGAAGGAGGUCAAAACCCUUCAGGUCCACUCAAAAGGAGAAAAAAAAUUCCAAAAGUUUACUUUAAAAUGGAAACAAACGCCUCAAUAACUUGUGAAAGCACUCUUUGGUGGAGAAAAAUCUGAGGAACCCUUAAAAGCCCUCAUUUCCUUGCAUAAUGAAUAGACAGUGAGGAACCACCACAAGGUUUCCCUCUGGAAAGAGAGAAGGAGUAGGCAAGCAAGCCUCCUCCUCCUCCAGCCAUCACCAACAGAGCUUCAAAAUGGAGACAUCCAUAAUUUUAUAAACACUUCUCAUCUCAGCUUUGUCUCCUGGAAACCCGCUCUCCUCCAUUUUCUGGUGGAGUUACAACAUGACACGGCUUACCUGACUCAGUUCCCAGCUCUUAACCAAACUAGUCACUUCCUCCAAAAACCUGCAAGCAACCUCCAGAAACAAAACCAAAGCAAACCAAACAGCCAACACAGACACUCAGACACAGCCCCCGGGAGCCCUGGGAGAAAGCCCCAACUGGUUAGAAGCCACAAUGAAAAGAAAACGAGGGUUCCUUCAGGAAUGGUGAACAGCCUGGAGAAUGAACAACUACACGAAAUUAAUUAAGCCACCGCGCUCACUCCCCCC